CACAUGACUCUCGGCAAUGGAUAUCUUGGCUCUCGCAUCGAUGAAGAACGUAGCAAAAUGCGAUACCUGGUGUGAAUUGCAGAAUCCCGUGAACCAUAGAGUUUUUGAAUGCAAGUUGCGCCCGAUGCCUUCUGGCUGAGGGCACGUCUGCCUGGGCGUCACGC
rnacentral:rRNA from 1 species